rnacentral:rRNA from 2 species
CGGUAAAAGCUCAAAUUUGAAAUCUGGCUCUUUUAGAGUCCGAAUUGUAAUUUGUAGAAGAUGCUUCGGGUGUGGUUCCGGUCUAAGUUCCUUGGAACAGGACGUCAUAGAGGGUGAGAAUCCCGU